rnacentral:tRNA from 1 species
GGGGAUUUAGCUCAGCGGCAUAAGCGCCUGCCUUGCAAGCAGGUGGCCGUGAGUUCGAUCCCCG